UACGGAGGGGGCGAGCGUUAUUCGGAAUUAUUGGGCGUAAAGGGCGCGUAGGCGGCUGUACAAGUCAAAGGUGAAAUCCCUCGGCUCAACUGAGGAACUGCCUUUGAAACUGUACGGCUUGAGGCCGGGAGGGGGUAGCGGAAUUCCCAGUGUAGCGGUGAAAUGCGUAGAUACUGGGAGGAACACCAGUGGCGAAGGCGGCUACCUGGACCGGUUCUGACGCUGAGGCGCGAAAGCGUGAGUAGCAAACAGG
rnacentral:rRNA from 1 species